CACCGCGGUUAUACGAGUGGCCCAAGUUGAAAGUUACCGGCGUAAAGAGUGGUUAGGGAAACAAUAAACUAAAGCCGAACACCCUCUAGGCUGUUAUACGCUUCUGAGGACACGAAGCCCCACUACGAAAGUGGCUUUAAUACACCUGAACCCACGACAACUAAGACA
rnacentral:rRNA from 1 species